rnacentral:tRNA from 1 species
GGAGUUGUGGCUCAGUGGUAGAGCACUUGCCUUGCACGCAUGAGGCACUGGGUUCAAUACUCAGCACUACA